UCCCUGGUGGUCCAGUGGUUAAGACUCCAAGCUUUCACUUCUGAGGGUCCAGGUUCAAUCCCAGGUUGGGGAA
rnacentral:tRNA from 1 species